UACGUAGGGAGCAAGCGUUGUCCGGAAUCAUUGGGCGUAAAGCGCGCGUAGGUGGCUUCGUAAGUCCGUUGUGAAAGUCAAAGGCUCAACCUUUGAAAGCCGAUGGAUACUGCGGAGCUAGAGUACGGAAGAGGCGAGUGGAAUUCCUGGUGUAGCGGUGGAAUGCGUAGAGAUCCGGAAGAACACCGGUGGCGAAGGCGGUCUGCUGGGGUCGAACUGACGCUGAGGCGCGACAGCGUGGGGAGCAAACAGG
rnacentral:rRNA from 1 species